AGGAUGUCCACCCCUCCCCUUUCCUGCAGGAGGCUUGCCAAGUCCAAACAGAUGGUGUUUGUUAAAAUGAAAAGGGACAUUUCUUAGACAAGUCAUCAGAGAAAGAUAUAUAGCUGGCAGGAAGAACAAGGGCACACACACAGACAAGUGGAACAAAAGAGGAGAAAAAAAACAAUUAGAAUGAAGCAGUGUGCUUUAUCAGCUGAGCCCACAAAUUGUGAGU